GCUAGUUGUGCGGGUUCAGGCCCGCAGCGGAAAGCUCAGAAACACGUGGCCAAGCUACCCUGUGGAUGGGAACAAUCUCGGGAAACUGAGGCUAAUUCCCAAUAACGCUCGACCCCUGGAACGGGUCGAGCCGGAAACGCUCCGGCGCCACAGGAUGCGGCUGCGGCCGAUUAGGUAGACGGUGGGGUAACGGCCCACCGUGCCCAUAAUCGGUACGGGUUGUGAGAGCAAGAGCCUGGAGACGGUAUCUGAGACAAGAUACCGGGCCCUACGGGGCGCAGCAGGCGCGAAACCUUUACACUGCACGAGAGUGCGAUAGGGGGACUCCGAGUGCGAGGGCAUAUAGUCCUCGCUUUUCUGUACCGUAAGGUGGUACAGGAACAAGGACUGGGCAAGACCGGUGCCAGCCGCCGCGGUAAUACCGGCAGUCCAAGUGAUGGCCGAUAUUAUUGGGCCUAAAGCGUCCGUAGCCUGCUGUGUAAGUCCAUUGGGAAAUCGGCCAGCUCAACUGGCCGGCGUCCGGUGGAAACUACACAGCUUGGGGCCGAGAGACUCGACGGGUACGUCCGGGGUAGGAGUGAAAUCCCGUAAUCCUGGACGGACCACCAAUGGCGAAAGCACGUCGAGAGACCGGACCCGACGGUGAGGGACGAAAGCCAGGGUCUCGAACCGGAUUAGAUACCCGGGUAGUCCUGGCUGUAAACAAUGCUCGCUAGGUAUGUCACGCACCAUGAGUGCGUGAUGUGCCGUA
rnacentral:rRNA from 1 species